rnacentral:lncRNA from 10 species
CUGCCUCAGCCUCCUGAGUAGCUGGGACUACAGGCAUGCGCCACCACGCCCAGCUCAUUUUGUACUUUUAGUACAGACGGAGUUUCUCCGUGUUGGUCAGGCUGGUCUGGAACUCCCGACCUCAGGUGCUCCACCCGCCUUGGCCUCUCAAAGUGCUGGGAUUACAGGCGUGACCCACUGCAGUCGGACAGGAACUGAAAACCACAAUAAGUGAGGACUGGUUAAAGAAACAAGUGAUGUUUAUCCUGAGAAUGACUGACAACAUUUCAGUGAAAAAAUGAGAGUAGUAUUUGAAUAACUGAAGGUCUACCGCAGAAGAGGGUUUCAGCUGGAUGUGUUCUGCAGACUCCUAGGAUCCACGGCAUGGUAAGCCCCUAGUGAAUGUUUAUUGAGUGAAUAAAUCCUGUACUGCUCCCACAGCAUGGACCAAGACCAUGGGCCGCCAUGGGGUCCUGCGGCUGAACUGGGCCCUGGCAGGAGCAGUCCCCUCACUCUCCUUUGAUCAGAAGGCUGCAUGUGUUCUACAUUUCAGAAGUAACCCUGUGAACUGGGACAUCCAGACUCCAAAUGAUGAGUAACAUUUGCUUCGAAUUUUUCAAAAAGCUUUAUUCAUCCAACAGUUGGGUUAUUAAAAG